rnacentral:tRNA from 1 species
ACUUAAAUAGCUUAUAUAGAGCAUGAUAUUGAAGAUAUCAAGGAAAUAGUUUAUUUUUAAGUA